rnacentral:rRNA from 1 species
AUGAACGCUAGCUACAGGCUUAACACAUGCAAGUCGAGGGGCAGCAUUUUAGUUUGCUUGCAAACUGAAGAUGGCGACCGGCGCACGGGUGAGUAACACGUAUCCAACCUGCCGAUAACUCCGGAAUAGCCUUUCGAAAGAAAGAUUAAUACCGGAUAGCAUACGAAUAUCGCAUGAUAUUUUUAUUAAAGAAUUUCGGUUAUCGAUGGGGAUGCGUUCCAUUAGUUUGUUGGCGGGGUAACGGCCCACCAAGACUACGAUGGAUAGGGGUUCUGAGAGGAAGGUCCCCCACAUUGGAACUGAGACACGGUCCAAACUCCUACGGGAGGCAGCAGUGAGGAAUAUUGGUCAAUGGGCGAGAGCCUGAACCAGCCAAGUAGCGUGAAGGAUGAAGGCUCUAUGGGUCGUAAACUUCUUUUAUAUGGGAAUAAAGUUUUCCACGUGUGGAAUUUUGUAUGUACCAUAUGAAUAAGGAUCGGCUAACUCCGUGCCAGCAGCCGCGGUAAUACGGAGGAUCCGAGCGUUAUCCGGAUUUAUUGGGUUUAAAGGGAGCGUAGGUGGAUUGUUAAGUCAGUUGUGAAAGUUUGCGGCUCAACCGUAAAAUUGCAGUUGAAACUGGCAGUCUUGAGUACAGUAGAGGUGGGCGGAAUUCGUGGUGUAGCGGUGAAAUGCUUAGAUAUCACGAAGAACUCCGAUUGCGAAGGCAGCUCACUAGACUGUCACUGACACUGAUGCUCGAAAGUGUGGGUAUCAAACAGGAUUAGAUACCCUGGUAGUCCACACAGUAAACGAUGAAUACUCGCUGUUUGCGAUAUACAGUAAGCGGCCAAGCGAAAGCAUUAAGUAUUCCACCUGGGGAGUACGCCGGCAACGGUGAAACUCAAAGGAAUUGACGGGGGCCCGCACAAGCGGAGGAACAUGUGGUUUAAUUCGAUGAUAUGCGAGGAACCUUACCCGGGCUUAAAUUGCAACAGAAUAUAUUGGAAACAGUAUAGCCGUAAGGCUGUUGUGAAGGUGCUGCAUGGUUGUCGUCAGCUCGUGCCGUGAGGUGUCGGCUUAAGUGCCAUAACGAGCGCAACCCUUAUCUUUAGUUACUAACAGGUCAUGCUGAGGACUCUAGAGAGACUGCCGUCGUAAGAUGUGAGGAAGGUGGGGAUGACGUCAAAUCAGCACGGCCCUUACGUCCGGGGCUACACACGUGUUACAAUGGGGGGUACAGAAGGCGGCUACCUGGUGACAGGAUGCUAAUCCCAAAAACCUCUCUCAGUUCGGAUCGAAGUCUGCAACCCGACUUCGUGAAGCUGGAUUCGCUAGUAAUCGCGCAUCAGCCAUGGCGCGGUGAAUACGUUCCCGGGCCUUGUACACACCGCCCGUCAAGCCAUGAAAGCCGGGGGUACCUGAAGUACGUAACCGCAAGGAGCGUCCUAGGGUAAAACUGGUAAUUGGGGCU